rnacentral:rRNA from 1 species
GUAGGUGGCAAGCGUUACUCGGAAUCACUAGGCGUAAAGCGCAGGUAGGAGGUUUGGAAAGUCUGUUGUGAAAGCUCCCGGCUUAACUGGGAGAGGUCAACGGAAACUACCAGGCUAGAGUGUGGUAGAGGAAGAUGGAAUUCCCGGUGUAGCGGUGAAAUGCGUAGAUAUCGGGAGGAAUACCUAUGGCGAAAGCAGUCUUCUGGACCAUCACUGACUCUGAUCUGCGAAAGCUAGGGGAGCAAACAGGAUUAGAUACCCUGGUAGUCCUAGCCCUAAACGAUGCUCAUUAGGUGUGGGAGGUAUCGACCCCUUCCGCGCCGUAGCUAACGCAUUAAAUGAGCCGCCUGGGGAGUACGGCCGCAAGGUUG